UACGGAGGGUCCAAGCGUUAUCCGGAAUCAUUGGGUUUAAAGGGUCCGUAGGCGGUUUUGUAAGUCAGUGGUGAAAGCCCAUCGCUCAACGGUGGAACGGCCAUUGAUACUGCAAGACUUGAAUUAUUGGGAAGCAACUAGAAUAUGUAGUGUAGCGGUGAAAUGCUUAGAUAUUACAUGGAAUACCAAUUGCGAAGGCAGGUUGCUACCAAUACAUUG
rnacentral:rRNA from 1 species